AUAAACGGGUGACCCAUGGGUUGACCUGUACCGGUACGGGUCUUGCAUUCUUAGCCCAUAGACCCAUGCCCGUUUUACCUGCUACCCGUAACUACCCGGCCCGCCCGUUUGCCAGGUCCAGAAACAGCUCUGCACUGCUUUUUACAGCACCCACCUUAAUAAAAACCCUAAUUUCCAAUCUUCUUUACCGAAGUUAUCAAUCCUAUUCAAAUUUAAUCCCAAAAGUUAAAUCUUUUCAUUCAUUUUCAAGUGAUGGAGAAUCUGAUUACUGAAGUUCAAGUGGAAGUGGCGGGCGGGUAUUCGGAUCCUGGAGCCGGAUCCUUUUCUGGGUUCCAAAGAAUGAUCGAGUUUCACCCGGCUGGAAAAGUCUUUAGUGGGCUUAGUAAUGGUGGUGAGAAUGGGGAUUUUAAAUUGGAGACGCUGAAUCCAAGUGGGUCGGAGCAGAAGAAAGCUGGUAAACGUUAGGGACAGGGUCCGAGUGGUGGGUCAGGGAAGAAAGUUGAUGGGUCGGAGUUUUGGGAUUGUGGGUUGGAUCCUGAGCUGAGUUUUGGGAUGACUUUUCGGAGAAUUGGUGCUGGUCUUGAAAAUCUUGGAAAUACUUGUUUUCUCAAUUCCAUGUUGCAGUGUCUGACAUAUGCAGAGCCUUUAGCGGUAUACUUGCAGAGUGGCAAGCAUCAAAAUUCUUAAGCCUGCUUUCUCAAAACAAGCUGAUGAAGAUGAGCAAAGUGGAUCGACAUUUAAUUUAAUGAUGGAACUAUAAACUAUUUCAGAAGUUGGCUAGAUUAUUACAGGCUUUUGCAAUAACAAACCCGGUGAUCUUGAGAUAGUUUCAAAGUCCAGGAAAUUUGGCAGAAAUUUCACCGGUGAUUCUAGCUGAAGCUUUUGAAAGCAUUACAAGCCGAGAGUCUGCAUGAAGUCUGGAUAAAAAAUAAGACCAGAUGUAUGAUAAUAAAUGCAGGAGAUACUAAUUUUUUUUAAUUAUUAUUUUUAAUCAAAUGAACUAUGAAUGAUGUGGUAUAUUUCCAGUCGAAAAAAUAAGACUUUGUCAUAUAGGUGUAGACUGCCAUACAACUUGAAACACUCAUUGAAUCCACAGGAUAUGAAUCAAAAGGAUUUACUUGUGUGAGAUUAAUUAAUUGAAUCCUAA